GGCAGGUAGACUAGGGGCGGCAGGUAGACUGGAGGCAGGUAGACUAGGAGAAGGUAUACAAGGGGCAGGUAGACUGGAGGAAGGUAGACUGGAGGCAGGUAGACUAGGAGAAGGUAGACUAGGAGAAGGUAUACAAGGGGCAGGUAGACUGGAGGAAGGUAGACUGGAGACAGGUAGACUAGGAGAAGGUAGACUAGGAGAAGGUAUACAAGGGGCAGGUAGACUAGGGGCAGGUAGACUAGGGGCGGCAGGUAGACUGGAGGCAGGUAGACUAGGAGAAGGUAUACAAGGGGAAGGUAGACUAGGGGCGGCAGGUAGACUGGAGGCAGGUAGACUAGGAGAAGGUAGAAUAGGAGAAGGUAUACACGGGGCAGGUAGACUAGGAGAAGUUAGACUAGGAGAAGGUAUACACGGGGCAGGUAGACUAGGAGAAGGUAUACACGGGGCAGGUAGACUAGGGGCGGCAGGUAGACUAGGGGCGACAGGUAGACUGGAGGCAGGUAGCCUAGGAGAAGGUAGAUUAGGAGAAGGUAUACACGGGGCAGGUAGACAAGGAGAAGGUAUACACGGGGCAGAUAGACUAGGGGCGGCAGGUAGACUAGGGGCGGCAGGUAGACUGGAGGCAGGUAGACUAGGAGAAGGUAGACUAGGAGAAGAUAUACACGGGGCAGGUAGACUAGGGGCAGGUAGACUAGGGGCGGCAGGUAGACUAGAGGCAGGUAGACUAGGAGAAGGUAUACAAGGGGCAGGUAGACUAGGGGUGGCAGGUAGACUAGAGGCAGGUAGUCUAGUAGAAGGUAUACAAGGGGCAGGUAGACUAGGGAGGCAGGUAGACUGGAGGCAGGUAGACUGGAGGCAGGUAGACUGGAGGCAGGUAGACUAGGGGUGGCAAGUAGACUGGAGACAGGUAGACUAGGAGAAGGUAGACUAGGAGAAGGUAUACAACGGGCAGGUAGACAAGGAGAAGGUAUACAAGGGGCAGGUAGACUGGAGGCAGGUAGACUGGAGGCAGGUAGACUAGAGGAGGCAGGUAGACUAGGAGAAGGUAGACUAGGAG
ensembl:lncRNA